AUGCAAGUCGAACGGUAGAGGGGGCAACCCCUCGAGAGUGGCGAACGGGUGAGUAAUAUAUCGGAACGUGCCCAGUCGUGGGGGAUAACGUAGCGAAAGUUACGCUAAUACCGCAUACGAUCUAAGGAUGAAAGCGGGGGAUCGCAAGACCUCGCGCGAUUGGAGCGGCCGAUAUCAGAUUAGGUAGUUGGUGGGGUAAUGGCCUACCAAGGCAACGACGGGUAGCUGGUCUGAGAGGAUGAUCAGCCACACUGGGACUGAGACACGGCCCAGACUCCUACGGGAGGCAGCAGUGGGGAAUCUUGCGCAAUGGGCGAAAGCCUGACGCAGCAACGCCGCGUGCGGGAUGAAGGCCUUCGGGCUGUAAACCGCUUUCAGCAGGAACGAAAAUGACGGUACCUGCAGAAGAAGGAGCGGCCAACUACGUGCCAGCAGCCGCGGUGACACGUAGGCUCCAAGCGUUGUCCGGAUUUAUUGGGCGUAAAGAGCUCGUAGGCGGUUGAGUAAGUCGGGUGUGAAAACUCUGGGCUUAACCCGGAGACGCCAUCCGAUACUGCUCUGACUAGAGUUCAGGAGGGGAGUGGGGAAUUCCUAGUGUAGCGGUGAAAUGCGCAGAUAUUAGGAGGAACACCGGUGGCGAAGGCGCCACUCUGGACUGAAACUGACGCUGAGGAGCGAAAGCAUGGGUAGCAAACAGGAUUAGAUACCCUGGUAGUCCAUGCCGUAAACGGUGGGCACUAGGCGU
rnacentral:rRNA from 1 species